rnacentral:rRNA from 1 species
AGAGUUUGAUCCUGGCUCAGGAUGAACGCUAGCGGCAGGCCUAAUACAUGCAAGUCGAACGGUAAAUGCCCCUUCGGGGGUAUGAGAGUGGCGCACGGGUGCGUAACGCGUAUGCAACCCACCCGCUGCCGGGGGAUAGCCCGGAGAAAUUCGGAUUAAUACCCCAUGAGGAGUUUGAGCGGCAUCGCUUGAAUUUCAAAACUUCGGUGGCGGCGGACGGGCAUGCGUGCCAUUAGAUAGUUGGCGGGGUAACGGCCCACCAAGUCGACGAUGGCUAGGGGAUCUGAGAGGACGGUCCCCCACACUGGUACUGAGACACGGACCAGACUCCUACGGGAGGCAGCAGUAAGGGAUAUUGGUCAAUGGGGGGAACCCUGAACCAGCCAUGCCGCGUGAGGGAAUAAGGCCCUACGGGUCGUAAACCUCUUUUGCCGGGGGAUAAGGACGGGAACGCGUUCCCGUUUGAAGGUACCCGGAGAAUAAGCAUCGGCUAACUCCGUGCCAGCAGCCGCGGUAAUACGGAGGAUGCGAGCGUUAUCCGGAUUUAUUGGGUUUAAAGGGUGCGCAGGCGGGCGAUUAAGUCAGCGGUGAAAGGCUCGGGCUCAACCGGAGCAGUGCCGUUGAUACUGGUUGUCUUGAAUGCGGUCAAGGCCGGCGGAAUGUGGCGUGUAGCGGUGAAAUGCAUAGAUAUGCCACAGAACACCGAUAGCGAAGGCAGCUGGCCGGGCCUGCAUUGACGCUCAGGCACGAAAGCGUGGGGAUCGAACAGGAUUAGAUACCCUGGUAGUCCACGCUGUAAA